rnacentral:lncRNA from 10 species
GCCUUCAGAUUUAGAGUGGAAAUAUACUGUCAUCUCUCCUGUGUCUCCAGCUUUCCAUGUGACCAUAGAACCUCUCAGACUCCAUAAUCAUAGAAAACUCCAAGUAUUUUUUGCAAGGAAAAGUUGAUGAUACUGAUGAUGAUGGUGAUGGUGAUGGUGGUACUGAUUAGAGUGCUGAUGGUAGUAGUCCUGUAACUUGAACAAGGUUACAGGACAAGUAGAAUAUGGCAGAGAUGGAAUUUGAACCCAAGCAAUCAAAUUCAAAAGACUAUACUCUAAAGCAAUGGCACUCAGGGAGUGAUCCAUCAGUGCCUGUGCACAACAAGGUCCACAACCUGGCAUUUAGUGGUAGGCCUGGAGCUGCUCUUGGUCAACAGUGUCAGAAGUUGGGAAGAAGAGCUGCAUAUCAAGCAGAAGAGAAUGAGAAGAAACAGGAACCCACUUCUGCAUCUGUCUAUAGCAACAUCUGACUAUAACGACCUUCAAAAGAUAAUGGCUGUUGCUUCAUUUCCAACCCUCCAAAUCUCAAGUAGCCUUGUGAUUACAUUGGGCUUACCCAGAUCCAGAUCAUCUAGGAUAAUCUCUCUACCCAAGAUCUUUAAUGUAAUCACACCUGCAAAGUCCCUUUUGGGAAGAAAGGUUGUAGAGAAGGUACUGUUCCCAUUGAAAUCAGUAACGGCCAUGUGACCUGAUUCGACUCAUGAAAUCGUGGACUUUUUCAUAGUCUCAAUGGGAUGUUUAUCUAAAAUGCAUACAUUCCUAAAUGAAGAGUGCCCUUGUCUUCACUGUAUAUUGUGUUAUUGUUAGAACUUUCAAACAUGCUAAAGAAGCUGAUAAGUCUAAGUUCACAUCAAUAAUUACAUUAUUCAACAACCUGAGAGAAGUGAAGCCAGGUUGAGUGUAGUCCCAGUAGAGAGAUGUUUUCUAUGUUCUCUUUCUUUUGUGUUUAGUAAAGGUACUUCACCAGAGGUCAAUUUUCUGUACCAAUUUCUGUUUGGCUGGAGCAGAUUCCAGCUGUGUCUGUGCUUGGUCUCCCACCUGAUGCCACCACAUCAAAGGGAAGCCCAUAUUACACUGGAAACAAGGCCCUGCUUCCCUGCUGAGUUUUGUGUUUUGUGACGUUCCCAAGCAAAAUUCGAAAUCUUCCUGUUUCAAUUUUUGUAAUGUGUAUCAUUAAAAUAAUACUCUCACAUGUGAAUAAAUCAAAUACUAAGAUUAGCCUAUCCUAAUUUCUAUACCUCCUACCCCCAUACGUGUUUAAACCUGUAGUCCCACUCUCCAGGAGAAACCUCUUUUUUUUUAUUGGUAAUAUAGGUGUUAAUUUUUGAUAUUUUUAAUAUCUCAAAUAAAGAAAAAGAAAGAAAGAAAGUAAAAUUACUUGUUAAAAAUCAGUUCAAAUUAAAAUUCACUAUAAUGGUUAAAACAG